GCCUCGCUGGCGCAGUAGGCAGCGCGUGAGUCUCUUAAUCUCAAGGUCGUGAGUUCCAUCCUCACUCGGGGCA
rfam:Ciona savignyi cont_26118, whole genome shotgun sequence.